rnacentral:rRNA from 1 species
ACUUACCAGGUCAAGACAUGGGCGUGAUUGACAGGCUAAUGACUUUUCUCGAUUCCAUGGAUGGUGGUGCAUGGUCGCACUUAGUUGGUGCAGUGAUUUGUCAGGUUUAUUCCGGUAACGAACGAGACCUCGGCCUUGUAAAUAGCUAUGCUGCUUACAGGGACAUUGGCGGCUACGCCAAGGAAGCUCGAGGCAAUUGCAGAUCUGGAAUGCCCUUAGAUGUCCUGGGUCGCACGCGUGCUACAAUGACGCCACGAACGAGCUUGCGUGAUGAAAGUUACGCAUAAUCAGCAGUCGGCGUCUUAAGGGAUAGUCUCUUGUAACUGUGGGACUCCAACUAGGAAUGUCUCGUAAGCACAAGUCAACAUCUUGUGUUGAUUACGUCCCUGCUCUUUGUACACACCGCCCGUCGCUCCUACCGAUCGAGUGUUUAGGUGAAUUUGAUGGACGUAAGGAAGUCAAAUAAACCUGAGCACUAGAGGAAGGAGAAGUCGAACUGA